GUAAGUGUGGCUCAAGUGGUAGAGCACUAGCUUUUUAGUGAAAAACCUAAAAGACAGCACCCCAGACUCUGAGUUCAAGUCUCAGUACUGGCA
rnacentral:tRNA from 1 species